AUUGUUUUUGUAAUUUCAUUAAGUUUUUUGUGCAUGCUUUUAAUGCUUUAACAGACUAUGGUAGUCUUUGUCUAGUAAGUCCAAUAUCUUUGUUUCUAUUAAUUUCUCCCCCCCAUUGAAUGAGACAUAUUACCUUGUUUAAUUGCCUAUAUCAAUAUUUUUUGUCGAAAGACAGACUUUCUGAAUAGUAUUAUGGGAUCUAUAGAAAUUAUAUUCUUCCCACCAUUGUUUGUGUAACUGUUGGAUAUUGUUAUUUAUCUGUUAAUGACUCUUCUAAACUAUUUUCUAGAUUUUGUUUAGUUUCACAUGUGGCCACUGAAAUCUCUGUUCUAUUAUCUCAGUAGUCAGUAGCAUUUUGAAAAUUUUCUUAAAUACUUAGAGUUAAAGAAAGAAAAACAUCCCCUGGUAUUCCUAGAUUGACUGUGUUAGGAUUAAUUUAUAGUGCUUAGCCAGGCUACUUACAAUUCUAUCAUAAUUGUCAUUUUCGGCUUGUGUGGCACCUAAAUUCAUCUAGAGAAGAAAGUUUAAUUUCUUCUCAUUUUCUGACUUUACUGAUCAUACAACAUCCAAAGGAAUGGUCUUGUCAUACUUGAUUCCUAAUAUUCAAAAGAGCGUUUAAAACACCUUGGCUAUGUGUAUAGUUCAGUGUUAGGGAGCUUGCCUAGCAUGCUCAAGACACAGGUUUGAUUCUCACAUCAACAGG
rnacentral:lncRNA from 1 species